rnacentral:rRNA from 1 species
AGUGAACGCUGGCGGUAGGCCUAACACAUGCAAGUCGAACGGCAGCACAGUAAGAGCUUGCUCUUACGGGUGGCGAGUGGCGGACGGGUGAGGAAUUCAUCGGAAUCUACUUUUUCGUGGGGGCUAACGUAGGGAAACUUACGCUAAUACCGCAUACGACCUACGGGUGAAAGCAGGCGAUCUUCUGACCUUGCGCGAUUGGAUGGGCCGAUGUCGGAGUAGCUAGUUGGCGGGUGAAAGGCGCACCACGGCGACGAUCCGUAGCUGGGCUGAGAGGAUGAGCAGCCACACCGGGACGGAGACACGGCCGAGACUCCUAGGGGAGGGGGCAGUGGGGGAUCCUGCGCAAUCGGCGAGGGCCAGACGGACCUAUGGCUCGUAAAUGCUGAUGGUCUGAGGGAAAAGCAGCAGGUUAACACGGCGCUGUAAUGACGGUACCCAAAGAAGAAGCACCGGCUAACUUCGUG